rnacentral:pre_miRNA from 1 species
UUCAAUUUUUCGUAUUUGCCGGUAGCGGGUGGAUUUUUUAUGAUAUCUUUAAUUUCGCGGAUGUACCUCUGUUCCAGCUGCGAGAUAAUGUGGUAAAACUUUGUAGUAUCUUCCUUGAUACCGGAUAUUUGGAAUUGU